CCAAACACUCAAAAAAAAAUAAAAAAUAAAAAAUCCCAACUCUUCAGCCCAAAACCAGAAACCCUAACCUCCUACUCAUCAUCAUCAACAGAUCAAACCUCCACAGACUCCUCCAUGCUCGUUCCAAUCUUCCACAUCAUAUACGGUCCAAACCAUACACGGUUACACUUCCUCUCUCUCUUCCAUCUCCUCUCUCUCUCUCUCUCUCUCUCUCUCUCUCUCUCUCUCCUCUUCUGCCUCCGACGCCACCUUCACCGCCACUGUGACUAUCGUGCCGCCGCCAUCACCUCUACUACCGCCCCCUCUCUCUCUCUUCUCGGCCUAUUGCUUCAGGACAUCGAUUUGUUUCCGGCAGCUUACUUCUCUCUACAUUUUUUUCUCUCCCCAUCUUCUCUUUUCCUCACCAGAUCGGCGACGAUCUCCCCGCCCUUUACUCCUCUUCCAUGGCCGCCGCCGUCUUCACCCUCACAUCCACCGCACACCACCACCACCACCACCACCGUCUUCACCAUAUUCGUGCCAUUCUCGGACGACGGCGAUAUGAGAUAUGAAGGCUUCAAAUCUGCAGGCAUUGUUUCUGGAAGUUUUGAUUCAAGUUUUUUCAUCAAAAUUGGGGAUAAUGGAGUUUCUCAAUCAUCGGCGCUGAGAUCAUUUCUGCUGUGAUAUUUCAUCCCAUCUCGGAAUCUCACCGAUUUGCUGCAUUAAAGCUCUUCACGCCACUCCAUGCAUGGAUCUUUUGGAAGGUCAAACUAAACCCUAAUUAAACCCAACUUUCUUUUUCCCCCUUUAUAUUUUCAUUUGAUUUACUUGUGCUCCUUCAUUAUUUUAUUUAUUUCUGUAAUUGAAAAUUUCGAUAAUCUCCGUUUGUUUCUUGAGAAAAUGCACCAUUAGAAAAUGAAUCAAUAAUUAUUGUUGAUCUGCCAAAAAGAAAUAGUUAGUAGAUUCUUUGGAUGUUUGGAUGUUAGAAAAACACAACCAUAAAUGAUUAAUGUUAUAUAUUUAAGAUUAAAAUCUGAUGAUAGUUGCAGCUGUUCUUCAUUUGUUGGUUUAUCUAGAGGUUGAUGUUUUUCAAUCUGCUUUAUGCAAAGGUUAUCAGUUAGAAAAUCUGGAUUUGGUCCACACACAGUAUCAGUUUAGAAAAUCUGGAUCUGCAGAGGUACUUUCUGUUCUUUACGUUAGUUCCUGCUUCUUUUUUUUUAAUUUAUUUAUUUUUUCAUCCGAGUUACAAAGUGAUUUGAAUCAUAGUUGUCAAAUAUUGAAUCAAAAUCUCCUUUUUGUUGAAUUGUGAAUUGAUUUGGGUUGCAAACAGUAAAGAUUCUGUUUUAAUUUUUGAUACGUAAAAAUAUAUCUAAACAUAUAGAUAUUAAAGAUACACUAUAAAUACGAUAUAAAUAAAUGAAUUGCUUCUUUUAAAUGAUGGACAUGGGUGUAAUAGGGAAGAUGCUUCUGUCUAUGUUUAGUUUCAUAUAUUACGAAAAACAAUCUUUUUAAAUUAAUAACAAUCUUGCUAAGAACUAUUUUUCUAUUUAGUUCACUAUCCAUAGAAAAUCCUAAAUGGUUGAGAAGUGUUGUGUUGGGUUAUGUUUAAUUUGAUAUUUUUCUUAUGAUCAGUAACAAUUAAUUUGAUCUGCCUCUUCCUGUAGGCUUCACAAUGAAAAAAAAAAAGUCUUAUGACCCCGUUUGCUUUCUGCUAUCUGCCAUGCUGUCUGUCAAGUCUGUAGACAUUUUUUUGGACAUCACAUACUUAGCUAUGUGGCACGUAAUCUAGAGCAACUAGAUGUAGUAAGCUCAUUCUUUAUAGGAUACGUGCAACAUGGCUAGGAUUGCUUGAGAGAAUGUAGAUUUGUCCAUAUGGAACCAAAGUUUUCUUGAUUCACCAUCACAGCAACACCUAGCUAAGUCAACUAAUUUGUUAAUGUUAUUCUAUUUUUUGUUUUGUUUUUUUGUUUUAAUUUAUAUUAAGAGGCAAGUGCUGAAUUGUGUGUUAGUGAUGUAAAUCAAAAUCAAAAUAUCUCAGUAAGCUACAUUUGGUGUUGAAAUUCAAAAAAGAAAAGAAAAAACAUAUCAUAGUAUCUAAUAAGGGUUUACCCAUGUUUGGUUGCUCAGAAAAUUGGCCAAAUUCUUUUGAAUUAUGCUUAUUAUAGUAGUAAUCUAUAUAUACCUUUGUUUGGGUUAUGAGAAAAUGGGCUCAAAUAUGAAAACACGAACUUGAUUAUAAAUGGAACUGUUCUAUCAAACUUAAGUACUUGGCUGAUUUUGGAAUUGAAAAACCUGUAAAUGCGUCCCUUGUUUGGCUGCUGAGAAAACAGGGAAAACUUAGGGAAGUUUAAUUUUGAAUGAAUACUAUGUAGAUAAUAGAAAGAAUACAAUCGAGAAAUCAAUGCUUUCAAAUACAAAUUGUUUUCCCAAAUUUUAGGACUUACAUUUUGUCGGGUACCAAUCGAUUUAUGAGUAAAUUUGCAGUUUAUUUAUUUAUUUAUUUAUUUUGGUGAUUUGCAGUUAAUUUGCUAAAACCCUUCGCUUGGUUGCUAAGAAAUGGGUGAAAUAAUAAAAAACAAAUGAGUUGUUGAACUAUGAAAAACAGAACUUGACAUCAAGUGCAGCAAUUCUAUUGAAACAAAUGAGUUGCUGAACUAUGAAAAACAGAACUUGACAUCAAGUGCAAGUUCUCAUUUGUAACCCUUAGUGUUUGGGUUUGCUUGUUUUUGCUCUUUUUAUGAUGGCUGUGUUUUACUUUCAUCAUGUUCCUUUUCUCUGUAUGAGGAUUUCUUGUCCUCCUUUCUUUCUUCUUUAAUAAAAUAAAUUUCGUUGUUGUUUCAAAAAAAAAAAAAAGAACUUGACAUCCAGUGCAGCAAUUCUAUUGAAGUUCACUUGGUUGCAAGAAGAUAUCUAUAUAUCUGACAGCCGUAUUUGAAAGUAACAGUUUAGAGAGAGUCUAGAGAUUUUUAUUACCUAUUUACUUAUGGAUGGAAACUUAUUACAUUUUCUUUAAUGACAGCAUAAGAAAAUAAUUUACAUUCUUGAAAGUUUAUUUGGCUUGGAUUGAGAUCUUCAUCAUAUGCGUUUUAAUCUAUUAUUUGUUAAAUAUGUAAAUCUUAAUUAAGAUUAUAUUGUAAGCAUAGGAUUUUUUUUAUCACUCAAACACUCUAGUGCCUCUAAAUUUCCUUUGACAUGCAGAGUUCAAAAAAUUUUGCUAUUUUGUUUCUGAUAUUUCUAUAUUGGUACUUUUGAAGCAAAUGAUGACGAUGCAUUGCUAUUCUUUGCUUCUGCUAUUGAUGGAUUAACUUUAACUCUAGGGAUGCUACUUUAACAUACAAGGCUGAGGCUUUGGAAUUGCAGAGACAGCCUAGGCAAACUGCAGACUCAGUAUGAUAUGGUCUCUGGUCAGGCUUCAACUUUGAUCCAAGGAAGAAGGGCACAAGUUGCGGCAACAUCUAGUGUGCUUAAGAAUACCAAUGUCAGACUUACGGACACUGUUAAUCAAGUGAUUGAGCUAGUAUUUUCUACAGAUUUGAAUCAAUUUGUGUUCCAGGGGUGGGAUGGGGGUAGGAAAUUUCUAUCUAUAUUCAGUUGUGCUUUGUUGUAGACCCUUUACCGGAUUUGAUGGAGAGUUUUUCUUUUGUUCUAGCAAAGGUCCAGUCGAAAUUUCUUUAUUGAUAUUAUACUGUUGUGCGUAAUUCUUGGGAUUGCUGCUUAUCUGUACAAGUUCCACUCUCUCUCAAUGGAAAGUAGACACUUCAUCACA